rnacentral:rRNA from 1 species
UACGUAGGGUCCGAGCGUUGUCCGGAGUUAUUGGGCGUAAAGCGCGCGCAGGUGGUUUCUUAAGUCUGAUGUGAAAGCCCACGGCUCAACCGUGGAGGGUCAUUGGAAACUGGGGAACUUGAGUGCAGAAGAGGAAAGUGGAAUUCCAAGUGUAGCGGUGAAAUGCGUAGAGAUUUGGAGGAACACCAGUGGCGAAGGCGACUUUCUGGUCUGUAACUGACACUGAGGCGCGAAAGCGUGGGGAGCAAACAGG